UUCAUCCAAACACAUUAGAAACAUUAAUGUGUGCACAAAGUUGGUUGUGGGGUGAAGAGAUGAAAGGAAAUUCAACAUUGGAAUCGGUGGGCUAUGCAACUAUAUAUGAUGAUGAUGAGAUCGAGUCGGAUCAGUCAUGUGCCACUUUUGUGAGUUCAAGUUGAAGGAGAUGAUGGAUUUGCUUUUUUAUGUUGUAAUGGAUAUAUAUUUUUUUAUUUUUAAUUUCAAUUUUUGGGUAACCUAUUCCUUGCGGGUUGUGCUUGGAAUUAAUUAUUCUCUUUGGUACUUGUUGAAUUUUCUUGUGUGUGUGGGUUGCUGGACAAGUGUUUGGUUUGUGUUAUUUUGUUGCUACAUGAUGUUUUGUUUGUGUUGUUUUGUUGGACUGCU